rnacentral:lncRNA from 12 species
UGUGACAUUUGAACUCUGUGAUGAUGAGUCUUUCUUUACCCUUAUGAGUAUUCUGGUUCGUAGUUUUGUUUGGUACUCCAGUAGAUUAUUUAGCCUAUGACGUAAGAGUGCAGCCAUGUCAGUGUGCGGAAACACCUUUGGUUCCUUAAUGGGUUUUAGUUAAAGACAAGCUUAAAGAGACAGUGUCUUUUUUUGGUCUGAUAACGGGAUGACUGAGGAGAAAAUGUUGUGUUUCUCUGCUGUUCUGCUGCUGUGUUCUCAGACCUCCUCAUUGACAUUGCAAGAUUUCUUACAAUCAAACGGAAAAUAAUCUGCUCAGAUCCCUCCUCACCAUGGGCCAUUAAAUCAAUGAAGUACCUGGAUGCAAAGAACAAACCUCAUUCAGUAUCAAACAAUACAUCUCGUCAAUCUGUGACAGUGGUUCCUAAGAACAUGUCAAUAUAUCAGCUCAGAGCUCUACAACUCCAAAAUGCGCUCCUCCAGUGGUUUAUAGCACACGGAAAAUAGACAUAGGAGGGCACGCAACACAAAAAACAGAAAGGGAUUGGAGUGGAUCUUCUAAAGUCACAGUUCAACAUAAAAGGACACACAAAACAAAAAACAGAAAACAAGAAAGAGUUUAUCAUCUCAUGAACCAAAUCACCAGAGCAGGAUUGGAGAGAAUCUACUGAAACCACAGAGAUGAUUCAGCAGGAUGGACUGACAUGGGAGGAAGGGAGAGAGACAGAGUCCAUAUUUACAGAAACAACUUCAUCAACCAUUAUGAAUGAGUCAUUUAUUAACAAUGGUUACUUUUGCUUAAAAGGGGAGAAGUUUCAAUACUUGGGGUAAUUUAAUUUUAUAUUAAUUUUAUAUUUAGCAGCCCUAUGAAUGAUUCAUGACCUAUUCAAAUUUUAUCUGUAUAUAUUUGUAUGUAACCAUUUUUGUAUGCAGUGCCUUUUUAAUUGCAUGACUUGUAAUAAAAAAAAGCUGUGUGGAGAAGACAUUUUUAACAUUGCAUUAAGAAAAUGAUGUAAAUUUUGGGUAACACUUUAUAAUAACUUUCAUUAAUAAAUCAUUAACAAGCAUUAUAUAAUGAUUAAUAGAUCAUAAGUUAAUAUAUAUUCAGAUAGCUAGAAACAUGAGAUAAUGUGCUUGUUAAUGUUUACUAAUGAACUUAUUCGACAUUAAGCCUACCUAAUGAUUAACAAAAAAAAAGCUGUGUGGAGAAGACAUUUUUAACAUUGCAUUAAGAAAAGGAUGUAAAUUUUGGGUAACACUUUAUAAUAACUUUCAUUAAUAAAUCAUUAACAAGCAUUAUAUAAUGAUUAAUAGAUCAUAAGUUAAUAUAUAUUCAGAUAGCUAGAAACAUGAGAUAAUGUGCUUGUCAAUGUUUACUAAUGAACUUAUUCGACAUUAAGCCUACCUAAUGAUUAACAGAUAAUGUAAAUUAAAAUGCUUACAAACUUACUUUCAGUUGAUAUGAUCAUGCUCUUGAAAGUGAAAGUCGUGACAUUUGCCAAGUAUGGUAACCCAUACUCAGAAUUGGUGCUCUGCAUUUAACCCAUCCAAGUGCACACACACACAGCAGUGAGAAGUGAACACACCGUAAACACACACCCGGAGCAGUGGGCAGCUAUAUCCAGCACCUGGGGAGCAACUGGGGGUUCAGUGCCUUGCUCAAGGGCAGUUCAGCCAUGGGUAUUGAGGGUGGAACAGAGCGCUGUUCAUUCCCUCCCCACCCACCUACAACUCCUGCCAGCACCGAGACUCGAACCUGCGACCUUCUGGUUACAAGUCCAAUUCUCUAACCAUUAUGCCGCAGCUGCCCCGUUCUCCAAAUGAUUUGAACAGAUAUUAUGCAAUGAUUAAAAGCCUACUUGGUCUCAUGACAUAAAUGUACCUGGGUGCAAUUUUCAAUGAGAUGCUAUAUACAUACCAAUAAGUACAUAUCACUGCAGUUUCCAAAAUAAAUGAACACUAGAGGCAGUAAAACCACACAACCACACACACUAAUCGAUGGCACAAACAGGGAGCGAGACCCAAAGGAACAUGAGACAUCAGAUUGUCACGAGUUUCUCGUAUUGCUGCCGUAGCAU